UUCACAUGUAACACAAAUACACAAUAUGUAUAUACAUUUUGUUACCAAAGAGAUUUAUAUGCCUACUGCAAUCAAGAAUUUCGAUCAUGAGUGAAUGAGGCCCUGGUUUAUCUGAAAGAAACAUUGUUUCCUCUGACUAAGCAACGUUUCCAAUUGUUACUUACAGUUCCUGGAACGUCCGCAUCUGCCGAGCGCAGCUUUUUAAAGUGUAAAUUAG